CUCUCUCUCUCUCUCUCUCUCUCUCUCUCCUGAUGCUAUGCAGUGCCCUGCUGAGAACCAUUACAGCUUAUAGCCCUGAGGGUGCAGGCCGUCGCGUCAGCAGCAGACACAAUUCAGACCUCAAUUAUCUUCAGAUCCAUCUUUGUCGCUGACAAUUUUAUGUGCACAUCGGUAAUUGUGAAGAAAUUAAUGCAAUGGAGAGCUUGGGGAAAGGACGGGCAGUGCAGAUCAUUUUGAAUUCACCUGCACCUGCAAUAAUUCUCAUUCUACGGAGAAAGUACAGUGGUCCAUGUGGGUUUCCUCAGAGUUCUCUGGUUUCCUGCAACCACUGAAAAACAUCCAUAGAGGUGGACUGGCUACUAUUUU
ensembl:lncRNA